UCAUAUUGCAAAAAUGGGUUUUUCCACCUUGGUCGUUAUCAACAAAAGUCGCGGUCCAUUCUAAAAGUUUUCUAAGUCUGUGUCCAUAUCGAUGUUCCUCGCAAAUUCUUAUUUAUAGUGUGGUCCGGUCGUGUUCAGUCACAGUUCUCAUUUUGAACGCCAAGUGACAACAUAGGUUCAUUAACCUCCCAGUGGUUUAUUGUGUAUAAAUAAAAAAAAAUAUCGAAGAAAAUGGCCGCCUACAAAGUUGUGCUAGCACUCGCCGUCUUAAUUGCUGUCGUAAAAGCCCAGAGACCUUUCUACGCUGGACUCAGCCCAAUUGGAUACCCAGCGGUGGAAACAGACCUCAUUUCAAACAGAUUCGGUGAAGAUGAAGACUUCCCAAUUGACGCCAGAGGUGAUAGGAACCUCAUCAACCGAUUGGAUGCCCUUCCCAUGGACAACCAACCCUUCUGGUACCUCAACUGGAGGCAAUACGAAAACUUCAGACGCAACCCACAAGCCUACCCCCAGAGGCCAAACAACUUCAUCGGCACCAGAUAAUCGGUUAAAAAAUCGAGAAAGUGCAUCGAUUUAGAAUCUCCAUUUUAUGUAUUCGAUUCAUGACUGACAAUUUAAUUCGAAUCGAAAUUGGAAUUUGAUAGAACUGGUUUGACUUUCGAACGUCCGCCUGAGAUUCUGAAUUUAAACAGUAUUAUUAUAAAAUUUCGUUUGUUUUUUUUUGUAGUAGGUAUGUGUAGUGAUGUGCCAACUCGGGAAAAACAAAACUCGAUUUAACUCGAGUUAAAAUCCAUGUAACUCGGGUUGAACUCGAAUUACGUAACUCGAGUUAACUGGAUUGACAAGUAAAUGUUUUUUGAGCUUUUUCCAAAUUAUUCCCUCAACUUGGCAUAAAUACUUGAAAAAAUUGGAACAGGCAAAUUUUAUUUUUAUAUGUUUCAAUUCUUUAUUUUUUUACAUACUUAUUUAUAAUGUAUCGGGAGAGUUAUGCCUACUAAUGAGUGUUCGUGUUGUAAACAUUGGAAUUAUGCCAUUGUAUUGCAUUUAUUGUAGUUUUGUAAAUAUAAAUUUUGUUUUAUGAAA